AAGUCGAGCGAGAACGCACCUUCGGGUGUUAGUAAAGCGGCGCACGGGUGAGUAACACGUGGAUAAUCUACCCUCAGGUUUGGGAUAACUCGAAGAAAUUCGGGCUAAUACCGGAUGAGACCACAGUGCGAGAGCACAGUGGGAAAAGCGGAGGACCUCUUCGGAGACUUCGUGCCAGGGGAUGAGUCCGCGGUCCAUCAGCUUGUUGGCGGGGUAAUGGCCCACCAAGGCUAAGACGGAUAGCUGGUCUGAGAGGAUGAUCAGCCACACUGGAACUGAGACACGGUCCAGACUCCUACGGGAGGCAGCAGUGGGGAAUAUUGCGCAAUGGGCGAAAGCCUGACGCAGCAACGCCGUGUGUGUGAUGAAGGCCCUCGGGUCGUAAAGCACUGUCGGGAGCCAAGAUGGCUUGAGGAGUUAAUAACUUCUUAGGCUGACGGUACCUACAAAGGAAGCACCGGCUAACUCCGUGCCAGCAGCCGCGGUAAUACGGAGGGUGCAAACGUUGUUCGGAAUUAUUGGGCGUAAAGAGGGUGUAGGCGGCCGAGUAUGUCUGAUGUGAAAGCCCAGGGCUCAACCCUGGAAGUGCAUUGGAAACUGCUUAGCUUGAAUCUCGGAGAGGGUAGUGGAAUUCCUGGUGUAGAGGUGAAAUUCGUAGAUAUCAGGAGGAACACCGGUGGCGAAGGCGACUACCUGGACGAUGAUUGACGCUGAGACCCGAAAGCGUGGGGAGCAAACAGGAUUAGAUCCCUGGUAGUCCACAGCUGUAAACGAUGGAUACUAGUUGCUGCGGGAGAUGACACCUGCGGUGACGAAGCUAACGCAUUAAGUAUCCCGCCUGGGGAGUACGGCCGCAAGGCUGAAACUCAAAGGAAUUGACGGGGGCCCGCACAAGCGGUGGAACAUGUGGUUUAAUUCGACACAACGCGAAGAACCUUACCCAGGCUUGACAUUGAUGGAAUCUGCUAGAAAUAGCGGAGUGCCCUUCGGGGCCCUGAAAACAGGUGCUGCAUGGCUGUCGUCAGCUCGUGUCGUGAGAUGUUGGGUUAAGUCCCGCAACGAGCGCAACCCUUGCCGUUAGUUGCCAUCGGGUAAAGCCGGGCACUCUAACGGGACUGCCGGUGUCAAACCGGAGGAAGGUGGGGAUGACGUCAAGUCCUCAUGGCCUUUAUGUCUGGGGCUACACACGUGCUACAAUGGCCGCUACAGAGCGCUGCAAACCCGCGAGGGGGAGCUAAUCGCAAAAAAGCGGUCUCAGUUCGGAUCGGAGUCUGCAACUCGACUCCGUGAAGUCGGAAUCGCUAGUAAUCGUGGAUCAGCAUGCCACGGUGAAUACGUUCCCGGGCCUUGUACACACCGCCCGUCACACCAUGGGAGUCGAUUGCUCCAGAAGUCCGUGGGCCAACCGUAAGGAGGCAGCG
rnacentral:rRNA from 1 species